rnacentral:rRNA from 1 species
AGCAGCCGCCGCGGGAAUACGUAGGUGGCAAGCGUUGUCCGGAAUUAUUGGGCGUAAAGGGCUCGCAGGCGGUUUCUUAAGUCUGAUGUGAAAGCCCCCGGCUCAACCGGGGAGGGUCAUUGGAAACUGGGAAACUUGAGUGCAGAAGAGGAGAGUGGAAUUCCACGUGUAGCGGUGAAAUGCGUAGAGAUGUGGAGGAACACCAGUGGCGAAGGCAACUCUCUGGUCUGUAACUGACGCUGAGGAGCGAAAGCGUGGGGAGCGAACAGGAUUAGAUACCCCAGUAGUCCCUGUCUCUUAUAA